UCCAGGUGCGUCGAAGGAAAUGCUCUUUACUGGAACUGGGGACGUGAGUAACGCGUAAUAACCUGCCUAUGUGGGGGAUAACCUGGAAGGGUGCUAAUACCGCAUAAUGCACGGGGCCGCAUGGCCAUUUGUUAAAGGUUUUGGCCGGCUAUAGAUGGGUCUGCGUGCUAUUAGUUAGUGGGGGACGGCCUACCAGGCGAUGAUAGCUAGGGGGUCUGAAGGAUGACCCCCACACUGGGACUGAACACGGCCCAACUCCUACGGGAGGCAGCAGUGAGGAAUCUUGCGCAUGGGAAAGCCUGACGCACCCCCGCGUGCCGAUGAAGGCCCUAUGGGUUGUAAACGGUUUUACUAGGAAAACAGAGGGUUUCGAUCUUCUGGACGGACCUAGUGAAUAACACCGGCUAACUCCGUGCCAGCAGCCGCGGUAUACGGAGGGUGCAAGCGUUGUCCGGAAUCAUUGGGUGUAAAGGGUACGUAGGCGGGAGCCUAAGUCUGGGGUGAAAUCUUGCCGCUUAACGGUAAAAUGGCCCUGGAUACGGGUUUCUUGAGUGCAGAAGAGGCAGGUGGAAUUCGUGGUGUAGCGGUGAAAUGCUUAGAUAUCACGAAGAACAUCAGUGGCGAAGGCGGCCUGCUGGUCUGCGACUGACGCUGAGGUACAAAGCGUGGGGAGCGAACAGGAUUAGAUACCCUGGUAGUCCACGCCGUACACGAUGCAUACUAGUGUUGGCCUUAGGGCCAGUGCUGCAGUUAACGCAUUAAGUAUGCCCCUGGGGAGUACGUCGGCAACGAUGAAACUCAAAGGAAUUGACGGGGGCCCGCACAAGCGGUGAGCAUGUGGCUUAAUUCGAUGCAACGCGAGGAACCUUACUGGGCUAAAUCCACGUGAUGUCUUCUGGAAACAGGACCUUGGCACUAUGGAAGUGCUGCAUGUGCGUCAGCUCGUGCCGUGAGUGGAUUAGUCCCGCAACGACGCACCGUAUACCAGCACGUACGGGGCUCUAGACUGCUACGCAGUGAAUGGGAGAAUCAUGCCGCAGGA
rnacentral:rRNA from 1 species